CCUACGGGUGGCAGCAGUGGGGAAUAUUGGGCAAUGGGCGCAAGCCUGACCCAGCAACGCCGCGUGAAGGAAGAAGGCUUUCGGGUUGUAAACUUCUUUUAAGAGGGAAGAGCAGAAGACGGUACCUCUUGAAUAAGCCACGGCUAACUACGUGCCAGCAGCCGCGGUAAUACGUAGGUGGCAAGCGUUGUCCGGAUUUACUGGGUGUAAAGGGCGUGCAGCCGGGAAGACAAGUCAGAUGUGAAAUCCCGCGGCUCAACCGCGGAACUGCAGUUGAAACUGUUUUUCGUGAGUACCGGAGAGGUGAGGGGAAGGGGGGGGGGAGGGGGGAAAGGCGGAGAGAGAAGGAAGAA
rnacentral:rRNA from 1 species